UCUAACCUCUGCAGGUAGGAUAUAUUACCUGACAUUCAGUCUCUACCCUCUGCAGGUAGGCUAUAUUACCUGACAUUCAGCCUCUAACCUCUACAGGUAGGAUAUAUUACCUGACAUUCAGCCUCUAACCUCUACAGGUAGGAUAUAUUACCUGACAUUCAGUCUCUACCCUCUGCAGGUAGGCUAUAUUACCUGACAUUCAGCCUCUAACCUCUACAGGUAGGAUAUAUUACCUGACAUUCAGUCUCUACCCUCUGCAGGUAGGCUAUAUUACCUGACAUUCAGCCUCUAACCUCUGCAGAACAUUAGAUCCGUGAAUCAGAAUGUUAGAAUCAUGGGCUGGAUUCCAGAACCAGUGGGCGGAACAUCCUCAACAUUCUCAACGGUGCAGAUGGCAUUCCUAGAAAGAGCUUCGGCAUGUUGACAUGUGCACUGACAUCUGCAACCUCCUCUGCAACCUGCACGUGAGAACAACAUUGAGUGGAACGAAUCAACAAGUAAAGAGCAUAAAACCAAUUUGGGUUCGUGAAAAAAAUAAAAUCUAAAUGUAACACUCA